UACGGAGGGUGCGAGCGUUGUCCGGAAUCACUGGGCGUAAAGGGCGCGUAGGCGGCUUGGUAAGUAGGGGGUGAAAUCCUGCGGCUUAACCGCAGGGCUGCCUUCUAAACUGCCAGGCUUGAGCACAGUAGAGGCAGGUGGAAUUCCCGGUGUAGCGGUGGAAUGCGUAGAGAUCGGGAAGAACACCGGUGGCGAAGGCGGGUCUCUGGGCCGUAACUGACGCUGAGGAGCGAAAGCAUGGGGAGCGAACAGG
rnacentral:rRNA from 1 species